rnacentral:misc_RNA from 1 species
CGUCAUAGGUGUUGCUAAGUAAUAACCAUUUUGUUUCUAAAAUUCGUUGAAGAGGACGUUUUUCUAAUUUCUAAAAUUUCAGUUGAUUUUGUUUUAUUAUAAUUUUAUUUAAUUUCAACUAAGUUGCGAUGUCCUUUGACGCCGUUACACAAGAGCGGGCCAAUGAGCCGGUGACGAUCCAAGCGCACAGAAAAAUUCGUUCAAGCAUGAGAAAAAGCCUACAGAAUAUGAUGGGACCGUUCAUUUCGAAAACCAAAUUCAUUUCCAGCUUUUCGGAUCCAAGCAAUCCAUUUGUCUUUCGUUUCGAUCCCGAACACGAUCUUUUCCACAACCACACAGUUAGUACAAGACGAAAAGAAAAUGGCGAUGACGUGGUGGAAUUUGAUCUGAAAUCUUUCUUCCGUGAUCCAAGUAUGAUGUGCGUGCAUCAAAAAUGCAGUCCGUGCCUUCAUAUUCCGACAGAUCAAAUUGAAGACUAUGAUAUAAUAAAUCCCGACUAUUGUUUGCCAGAGUUUGGCCACACCAGUCUGAUGUACAGCUCGAGGAAUGACGAAGUGGACAUCGUCAAAAAACUUUUGGAGAGUGGUGCCGAUCCUGAUCUCCAAGACAAGAAUGGAAACACUGCACUGAUGGAGGCAGUAGCAGCGUCCAACACAGAAUGUACUCGUGAGUUGCUAAAACACGUCGACCAUUACCGAGUCAACAGUUUGGUGAAUAAGGAUGGGUUUACAGCGUUGAUCUGUGCAGCGGGUGUUGGAGAUAUCGACACAGUGAGAUUUUUGAGUGCAAUCGAACUCAAGAAUCAAUCAACAGAGAAUGCGCACACUCGAAACCUCCAGACAAAGGCGGGACAAAGUGCGUUAAUGAUGGCGGCCUCAAAUGGAUAUUUAGAUGUUGUUCAGUUCUUGGUAGAAGAACUUAAAGUUGAUGUACUGGUUAAAGAUGAGAAUGGUAUGUUUGCCUAUUGUUGGGCUCAACUGAUGGGCCAUUGGAAAAUAGCAGACUUUCUCUUAUCUACAAUGAUUCUAAGGCAGAAAUUACCUCAAUAUCUCAAGGUGAAGUUUAAAUCGUGGAAAAUGAAACCGCAAGAAAAAUACAAAACAUCGAUACAGCAUCGAUCGUGUAUACUUUGCAUAGCACCUCUGGCAACCUUCACUAAAGAAGACAUGGGAUUUGGUUACCGAACUGGAUUCGAUGUCACCCAAAACAAAAACUUUUGGCAAAUGUACGCCUCCCGUUUCUUCGACUAUUCAACGUUUGGUUCUUACGAAGAUUGUACAGCGUGGAUGGAUUUGCUGUUCUAUGGAUUCCUCGCAAAGAAAACAAAAAUCAUCGAUCGUUUUCUGAAUUGUAAUGAAAUGAUGCUAUGCUUGAUGGAGUUCUUUCAAAGAGUCAAUGGGGCAAUCACUGGUGUUUUCCUUUUGGACUAUAAUUGGGACGUCACCACAUCUAUAGCUAUUCUAAUCUGCUUGGCCAGUACACCAGCUGGAGUGGAGUGGGUGCGGCUGAAUGUAUCCGAUUUGGACAAUAUCUGGAGAUUCGCGGACGCCGGAAAUCUUCUCCGUCACUGCGAUAGGUCAUCAUCAACUGAAUCAAAACUUCUAUUGAAGGAGAAAGUCAAGAAAAUAAAACAGAAAUCGAGAAAGAAACGUCUAGUGAAAGGAAAAGAAUAUGAAACGAACGAAGAAUCUAUACAUAACACCAACGAAGAUGACUCCCAAGGUAAUACUAGCGAUGAAAAAAGCGUCGUAGAAAAUAAAGACACACCCUUUGCCUUUACCCAUCUCACUGAAUAUUUCUCGUGUGUAUCAAAAAACGUGAAACUUAGAUUCAUAGAAGAUAAUUCGAGUUUUAUACCAGAAGAAUCUCUGAACAAUCUGAAACGUAUAUUCACCGCACACUAUGAUAUGAUAUCGCAGAAACGUAUGGACGCUUUGCUUGAAGCUGAAAUGAAAGAGAAGCAAGCAGCUGAAGCUAAACUGCAAGAGAAACGUUUGAAGAGGAUAAGACAGAAGGUCAAUAGGCGAAUGUCUCGUGAGACAGACACCAAAGAUAUCAGUCAACAGCAAAUGGUAUCCAACGCAACUGAAAAAACACCGAACUCUCGGGAAGAAGCAAUCAUAAAGGAUAUAGCCCCAAUCGAUAUCUUCCAACCUAACAAAGGUUUGGGGGACAUGGACACGGUGGCUGGACUUUAUCAUCUCAACGCUAGUGCCGAAGAAAAUCUCAUUUCUAGCUCCGAACAAGUAACACCAGGUAGAGAAGAUUUUAAGACACAUACUAAUAGGAAGGACCGAAGAAAACGUCAGAUUAAUGAGGAAAAAGAUAUGCCAAUCUGUCCUAAUGACCGUCAUUCAGCGAAAAUGAGACAAACAGACCAAAAUAGAAAUAGACCUGUGAUAGCUCCUUUGAGACUUUAUCUUCCUCCCCCAGUCCCCAGAGAUUCAAAAGUCACAAGCGACUGUUCCAAUUGGCGGAAUGCAGUUUGGCCGAAACCAUCACCUCAAUCGGAGCAUGUGCCCUCGCCUUAUCCCAAUUCGCGAGCCAGUCGGACGGCAUCCUGUGACAAAGACAAUGGACAAACUGGUGCAAGCUACAAUAGUAAAGGUCGUGAAAAUGAUGUUACUGGUUCUAAUAGAGAAAGGAAAUCCGUAGCAGCUGCGAUAUUUGACUCACCGUUAUCUUCGUGCAACCAACAUGGGUCGCUUGAUAGAGGAACCAUUGUAGAACAGUUUAGCUCUUCGGUAGAUGGUGGUUCAGUUACAGGGCUGUCAAAACCAAUAGCGAAGAUAAAAACCCAUAGGCCUACACAAAAUAAAAUACAACCCCGUAUGGAAAGUGGUGAUGAGUCGGAAGAGGAAAACGAUCGAGUGGCCUAUGGUGCCAUUAGAACAUAUGAUGAUCGAGAGCAGAGACAAAUAGAUGCAACAAAACCAAUUAACAUCCAUGUUCAGAAUUCGUACGACCUUGGUGAAUUUAUAAUAGCAAAUAUAGGAAAAGAAAUCAAAGAUUACUUUGAAAAUAUGCAUCAAGACAAAGUCUUAACAUUCAAAAAUACAGAGGCUUAUAAUCUUCAGCAAGAUCUACCAUUGGACCACCUCUUAUUCACGAAACAAAUUAAUGAUUUUCAAAAUCCUAGGAAAAACCGAGAAAUUGAAAUUGCCCUGAAGAAAAUGUUAAAACUGGAAGAAAAACUGCCUGGUUACACGAAACAUGGUGGUCUGUAUCCCGGAGUAAAUGCUCAUAGUUGAAAUCAACUCUCAUAAUAUAAUUUUGAUUGUACUUUAGUAUGUUUUUAUAUCUUUAUUCUCAUUUAAACACUGAAAAUCAAUCACACGCAAUAAUUUACAAGAAUGUAUGAUCUAAGAUAUUCGUAAUUGAUUAUUGAUUCAAAUCCAGAACUCGUGACACGUACACACUGUUUUGCUUUAAUAAGAAGUUUAAAACGUACGUAAACAUCAGAAGUCAGAACCUUUAUAAACGACAUGUUUGUGUCUACUAAGAAAACACAAAAUAUAAACUGCAAAAACAUGAUAAAUAAAGUACAAUUUACUCAAUAUAGGUGUUAAAACGUUUUUUUGACAUAAACACUUCACAUUGCAUUUGUUUUAAAAACAUUGUGCCACCUCAAGAAUUUAUGUUAAAUAAUAUGAUUGAGAUAAGGUAUUUGCGUUCUCUAAACUUUGCUAAGUUAGAACGUACUUGCAAGGUCAAGAAAAUCUUUAGUCUAGGCAAACAUGUCUGCUUCCCAACCGCUGAUGGACUGUUUCCGAAUAAAUGAUUGGCCGGUUAUUGUUAAUUGUAUUUGAUUGAAUUAUUUAAGAAAUAUUGACAGAAGAGCAGGGGUAAUAUUGUCGAAUACACCCCGCAGGGCUAGGCACAAAUGUUUUCUGUAUCCCGUGCGCGUUCAUCUUCGACCAAUUUACAAAAUU